rnacentral:lncRNA from 1 species
CUUGCCAUUUUUUCCCCAGGAAAGUCAGGAAACCAGUGUCCUGUGGCUCUCUGAGAGAUGGUCUGUGCAUCUGCCAGCAAAUAGCUAAAAUUACAUCUUUGCCAUUGUUUCAAAUCAGUACAGAGAUAUCUGCUUUAUUCACUUCAGUCUCAGCACAGGAUUGAAAUACUCUUUAAUUUAUACGGCUACGAAGGCCCUUAUUCUUGGAUACUCACAUUGUUUGGAGGCUUUUGUUAUGUCAAAGGAUGCUGCAAUGAAGGUCCUUAUAUAAUGCAUCGAGGUGUACAUGUGUUGAUUUAGAUCCUUCCUUCCCUCCCUCCUCCCCUCCUUCUCUCCUUCCCUCCUUCCUUCCUUCCUCCCUCUUUCUCUCUCUGUUCUUUUUCUUCUUGCUUAUUUUCAUUUUCAAAUUUUUAUUCCAUGAGCAUGUACCAUUUGUAUAAUAAUUAAAAGGAU